UACGGAGGGUCCGAGCGUUAUCCGGAUUUAUUGGGUUUAAAGGGUGCGUAGGCGGUUUUAUAAGUCAGCGGUGAAAUUUUCCGGCUCAACCGGGAGACUGCCGUUGAUACUGUAAGGCUAGGAUAUGGUUGCUGUGGGUGGAAUGUGUGGUGUAGCGGUGAAAUGCUUAGAGAUCACACAGAAUAUCGAUUGCGAAGGCAGCUCACAAAGCCAUUAUUGACGCUGAGGCACGAAAGUGUGGGGAUCAAACAGGAUUAGAUACCCUGGUAGUCCACACUGUAAACGAUGAUAACUCGCUGUCGGCGAUAUAAAGUCGGUGGCCAAGCGAAAGCGAUAAGUUAUCCACCUGGGGAGUACGACCGCAAGGUUGAA
rnacentral:rRNA from 1 species